CCUACGGGCGUCAGCAGUGGAGAAUCUUGCACAAUGGGGGAAACCCUGAUGCAGCGACGCCGCGUGAGUGAAUGAGUAUUUCGUUAUGUAAAGCUCUAGCAGCAGGGAAGCAAAUGACGGUGCCUGAAUAAGAAGCCCCGGCUAACUACGUCCCAGCAUCCGCGGUAAUACGUAUGGUGCAAGCGUUAUCCGGAUUUACUUGGUGUAAAGGGAGCGUAUACGGCGGUGCAAGUCUGGAGUGAAAGGCGGGGGCACAACCCCCGGACUGCACGGGAUACUGUACGGCUGGAGUGCAGGAGAGGGAAGCGGAAUUCCCAGUGUAGCGGUGAAAUGCGUAGAUAUUAGGAGGAACACCAGUGGCGAAGGCGGGUUACUGGACUGUAACUGACGUUGAGGCUCGAAAGCGAGGGGAGCAAACAGGAUGAGAUACCCCUGUAGUC
rnacentral:rRNA from 1 species